rnacentral:rRNA from 1 species
AGUGAACGCUGGCGGUAGGCCUAACACAUGCAAGUCGAACGGCAGCACAGUAAGAGCUUGCUCUUACGGGUGGCGAGUGGCGGACGGGUGAGGAAUACAUCGGAAUCUACUUUUUCGUGGGGGAUAACGUAAGGAAACUUACGCUAAUACCGCAUACGACCUACGGGUGAAAGCAGGGGAUCUUCGGACCUUGCGCGAUUGAAUGAGCCGAUGUCGGAUUAGCUAGUUGGCGGGGUAAAGGCCCACCAAGGCGACGAUCCGUAGCUGGUCUGAGAGGAUGAUCAGCCACACUGGAACUGAAACACGGUCCAGACUCCUACGGGAGGCAGCAGUGGGGAAUAUUGGACAAUGGGCGCAAGCCUGAUCCAGCCAUACCGCGUGGGUGAAGAAGGCCUUCGGGUUGUAAAGCCCUUUUGUUGGGAAAGAAAAGCAGCAGGUUAAUACCCCGCUGUUCUGACGGUACCCAAAGAAUAAGCACCGGCUAACUUCGUG